UACGGAGGGUGCGAGCGUUAAUCGGAAUUACUGGGCGUAAAGCGCACGUAGGCGGUCAGGCAAGUCGGGUGUGAAAGCCCUGGGCUCAACCUGGGAAUUGCAUUCGAAACUAUCUGACUCGAGUAUGGGAGAGGGAAGCGGAAUUUCCGGUGUAGCGGUGAAAUGCGUAGAUAUCGGAAGGAACACCAGUGGCGAGGGCGGCUUCCUGGACUAAUACUGACGCUGAGGUGCGAAAGCGUGGGGAGCAAACGGG
rnacentral:rRNA from 1 species